GCAAGUCGAGCGCGAAAGGUCUUCGGACCGAGUAAAGCGGCGGACGGGUGAGUAACGCGUGGGAAUCUGCCUAGUAGUGGGGGAUAACUAGUGGAAACGCUAGGUAAUACCGCAUACGCCCUACGGGGGAAAGCGGGGGAUCUUCGGACCUCGCGCUAUUAGAUGAGCCCGCGUCGGAUUAGCUAGUUGUAGGGUAAAGGCCUACCAAGGCGACGAUCCGUAGCUGGUCUGAGAGGAUGACC
rnacentral:rRNA from 1 species